GUUGAACGCUGGCGGCAGGCCUAACACAUGCAAGUCGAGCGGAAACGGCAGUAUUGAAGCUUCGGUGGAUUUACUGGACGUCGAGCGGCGGACGGGUGAGUAACGGCUGGGAACCUGCCCUGACGAGGGGGAUAACCGUUGGAAACGACGGCUAAUACCGCAUAAUGUCUACGGACCAAAGGUGGCCUCUACAUGUAAGCUAUCGCGUUGGGAUGGGCCCAGUUAGGAUUAGCUAGUUGGUAAGGUGACGGCUUACCAAGGCGACGAUCCUUAGCUGGUUUGAGAGGAUGAUCAGCCACACUGGGACUGAGACACGGCCCAGACUCCUACGGGAGGCAGCAGUGGGGAAUAGUGCACAAUGGGGGAGACCCUGAUGCAGCCAUGCCGCGUGUGUGAAGAAGGCCUUCGGGUUGUAAAGCACUUUCAGCAGUGAGGAAGGUAGUGUACUUAAUACGUGCAUUGCUUGACGUUAGCUGCAGAAGAAGCACCGGCUAACUCCGUGCCAGCAGCCGCGGUAAUACGGAGGGUGCGAGCGUUAAUCGGAAUUACUGGGCGUAAAGCGCAUGCAGGCGGUUUGUUAAGUCAGAUGUGAAAGCCCGGGGCUCAACCUCGGAACCGCAUUUGAAACUGGCAGGCUAGAGUCUUGUAGAGGGGGGUAGAAUUUCAGGUGUAGCGGUGAAAUGCGUAGAGAUCUGAAGGAAUACCAGUGGCGAAGGCGGCCCCCUGGACAAAGACUGACGCUCAGAUGCGAAAGCGUGGGUAGCAAACAGG
rnacentral:rRNA from 1 species